GUGCUUGCUUUGGCACCACAUAUACUGAAGUUGGAAUGAGACAGAGAUUAGCUUGGCCCCUGAGCAAGGAUAACAUGCAAAUCUAUGAAGCAUUCCACAUUUUA